rnacentral:tRNA from 1 species
GAGGGGAUAGCUCAGUGGUAGAGUGCAUGCCUAGCAUGCACUAGGUCCUGGGUUCAAUCCCCAGUACCUUCA